rnacentral:lncRNA from 1 species
GAGUCUGGAGGGGUGGGGUCGUAAAGGGACCCCUAGGCAGGCACAGCCCAGGGGCCACGCAUGCACCCUUCACUCCCCCACUGGCUGUGCGUGCAUAGGCGUGGACGGAACAAGCACCGUGCUCCAGAUAGGGAGCACCCCACCAGCCAGGGAACCCCAACCAGGCCCCAGCGGAAGGGUCUGGCAUCAGGUCCCUGGUGAGCUGGCGUGUGUCUCAGAGCAUUUGUUAGGGGUGGCUUGAUGGUCAGGCGAGCCUGUUGUGUGGGCCACCCCCCAUCAUCUGGAGGCAGGCAAGACAAGGUGCCCCUCCUCCCUCCACCAGCCCCGCCCAGAAACACCGGAAGGCAGCAUCAGGUAACCCAAGAAUGAGGUUGGCUGCUGAAUCUCCAGUGGUGACAGCUUGGUCUUCCAGAAAAAUCUCCAGGUCCCAAGGAGUUCCAGCAGUGUCCUAAGGCCCCCGAUGCAGCGUGCCCGCCCUUCCCCCAGGAUGGUCUCCUUGCCAAGGGGCGAGGCCAGCCCAGCGUCACCCCCGGCAGUGCCUCCAUGGAAACGCGCUUCUGGGGAGUGGAAGGCAGGUAUCAUGCGCUCCCAGUCGGGCCAGGAUGGAAAGGAUCUUCUCAUCUUUACAGUGGGCACAAUGACAGCCAAUUUCCACAAGGUGCCAGGCACGAGGAGAUGGUGAGCUUCCUGCUGAUCCAGGCCCAAACUUGGGGCUAAGAUGACGCCUUCUCUGCGAGUGGGAGCCAGGCCUACGGUGAGCGGGGUAGCCUGGGCCCUCCCAGGACUGUAGAGGAGAGGGCGGAAAGGCAGCCCCCGGCCUGGAAGGCCACCCCUUAGGCCAGCCAGGCCUCUAGCCCCAGAUGAUCGCCACUCUCAUGCGCAGAGUGACCCUGGGGACCCUGGGAUGAAACUCAUGCGUUUAUGAAAUAAGACCAGGAUUGAGCAUUGGAUGAGAUUGCUUAGGUGGAAAAGGUCGGGAAAGAGGGUGUGAGCUUGGUGCUGCGCUGGUGAAGGAUCAACCUGUCCAGAAACACUGUGGGCCACACAGGCCGGCGAGCAAAGCCAGAUUCCAGAACCCCUCCGGCUAGGUCCCCGUGGAGGGUGAGCGGGUGGGAGGGGCGCUUGGCCAGGCCGCAGAUCCCGCAGCUGGUGGAUAACUUUAGUUAUCUCUUCUCUCUCUCGCUCUCUUUUUUUCUGUUUAACGUUUUUCUAACACUUUUCUGUUUGCUUUCAACAAGUUAAAGAACUUUCUGUGGCAGCCGAGCGCGGUGGCUCACGCCUGUAAUCCCAGGGCGGCCAAAGCAGCAGAUCACUUGAGGUCGGGAGUUUGAGAACAGCCUGACUAACGUGGAGAAAACCCAUCUCUGGAACAAAAAAAGAAUGCAAAAUUAGCCGUGGCGCGUGCCUGUAAUCCCAGCUACUUGGGAGGCUGAGGCAGGAGAAUGGCUUGAAUCUGGGAGGCAGAGGUUGCAGUGACCUGAGAUCGCACCACACUACACUCCAGCCUGGGCAACAACAGCAAAACUCCAUCUCAAAAAAAAAGACCUUUUUUGUUUCAUUUAUUUGUUUAUUUUCCUGUGGUAAAAUAUGCAUAAGAUAAAAUGUACCCAUUUCAACCAUUUUUAGGUGUGCGGCUCAGUGGCAUGAAGCGUACACACAUUGUUGACAGUCAUCACCACCAUCCAUCUCUAGAACGUCUGGUCUUCCCAAACUGAAAGUCUUC